rnacentral:rRNA from 1 species
AUACGUAGGGUGCAAGCGUUAAUCGGAAUUACUGGGCGUAAAGCGUGCGCAGGCGGUUUUGUAAGACAGUGGUGAAAUCCCCGGGCUCAACCUGGGGACUGGCAUUGUGACUGCAAGGCCAGAGUACGGCAGCGGGGGAUGGAAUUUCGCGUGUAGCAGUGAAAUGCGUAGAUAUGCGGAGGAACACCGAUGGCGAAGGCAAUCCCCUGGGCCUGUACUGACGCUCAUGCACGAAAGCGUGGGGAGCAAACAGGAUUAGAUACCCUGGUAGUCCACGCCCUAAACGAUGUCAACUGGUUGUUGGGUCUUAACUGACUCAGUAACGAAGCUAACGCGUGAAGUUGACCGCCUGGGGAGUACGGCCGCAAGGUUGAAACUCAAAUGAAUUGGCGGGG